AUACAGAGGGUGCGAGCGUUAAUCGGAAUUACUGGGCGUAAAGAGCACGUAGGUGGACAAGUAAGUUGGGUGUGAAAUCCCCGGGCUUAACCUGGGAAUGCCAUCCAAAACUGUUUGUCUAGAGUAUGGUAGAGGGAAGUGGAAUUUCCGGUGUAGCGGUGAAAUGCGUAGAUAUCGGAAGGAACACCAGUGGCGAAGGCGACUUCCUGGGCCAAUACUGACGCUGAGGUGCGAAAGCGUGGGGAGCAAACAGGAUUAGAUACCCCGGUAGUCC
rnacentral:rRNA from 1 species